rnacentral:lncRNA from 1 species
UCUCGAGGCACUCAGAUUAGUAGAUCUCGCCACACUGAACGAAACUUCCCGCCUCAAAAUGAAUGAUUCCUAAUUCACUUGGCUAUAAAUCCUCAUAUUCCACGAAUUGAAUGAAAUUUAUGGUGUAAGAUGCAUCCACAGACUAUUGAACAAAAAUCAUCCAAUUCUAGGAUGAUUUUUGAUUCACAUCCGUCUGAAAAUAAGUAGAUAAUUGAGUUAUGAUAACAUAAAUGAAUAACAUGCAUUUUAUGACGGAUUAUUAUUUCUUCUAUGUCCCAAAUCGAAAAUCAUUCAAUUAUCGGCUGAAACAACAUAUGGAUUGCUGAUGAUCCCAGUUGUCAAAUCAUCCUUGUGAAUCGUAAACAAAUAUGGUGGAGGCAACGUGGUGUGGUUCAAUUUUCUCCGAGAAUAAAAUAGGAUAAAUGUAUCGCUGAUGCUCAGAUUUCUGGUUGGAUCAUGGAGUUAAGUUAAGAGCUACAACAUGUUUUCUUCAGAGUGACCCCUGUUCCUGCAGCCGAUUUUGUAGAAUGUUCUUGAUGCAAUAUCGAUGUAAUAAACGAAAUUAUCUGUUAUAGAACCAUCAA